rnacentral:lncRNA from 1 species
AACUUUUUUCCCCCUCUGUGUAUGCUACCUAACACAAGCAGAAGAAAAGAGAUGAAGAUUGAAGAGAAGGAUAAUUAUUGGAAGAUGUUCACGAAUGUCUGAACUUUGUUUAAAAUAAUGCAGACAUACAUCCAGAGUUUUGAAGAAUGACUGAGGAGUCCACCAUCCACUCAAGUAGUAAGUCAGAUUUAGGCAGAAACAAUGGUGGAGAAGGAAACAGAGAAGCAAUGGUGUACAAGCAUGACCUGAGGUGUGCAUGGAAGGGGGUUCUGAGAGCUGGACUGGAAAGGUGAGUUG